rnacentral:rRNA from 1 species
GAUGAACGCUGGCGGCGUGCCUAAUACAUGCAAGUCGAGCGAAUGGAUUAAGAGCUUGCUCUUAUGAAGUUAGCGGCGGACGGGUGAGUAACACGUGGGUAACCUGCCCAUAAGACUGGGAUAACUCCGGGAAACCGGGGCUAAUACCGGAUAACAUUUUGAACCGCAUGGUUCGAAAUUGAAAGGCGGCUUCGGCUGUCACUUAUGGAUGGACCCGCGUCGCAUUAGCUAGUGGGUGAGGUAACGGCUCACCAAGGCAACGAUGCGUAGCCGACCUGAGAGGGUGAUCGGCCACACUGGGACUGAGACACGGCCCAGACUCCUACGGGAGGCAGCAGUAGGGAAUCUUCCGCAAUGGACGAAAGUCUGACGGAGCAACGCCGCGUGAGUGAUGAAGGCUUUCGGGUCGUAAAACUCUGUUGUUAGGGAAGAACAAGUGCUAGUUAAAUAAGCUGGCACCUUGACGGUACUUAACCAGAAAGCCACGGCUAACUACGUGCCAGCAGCCGCCGUAA